rnacentral:rRNA from 1 species
GACGGACCACACGAACGUUAUUCGGAAUCACUGGGCUUAAAGGGUGCGCAGGCUGUGCAGUAAGUCGGGUGUGAAAUCCCUCGGCUCAACCGGGGAACUGCGUCUGAUACUGGGUGGCUUGAAUCCGGGAGAGGGAUGCGGAAUUCCAGGUGUAGCGGUGAAAUGCGUAGAUAUCUGGAGGAACACCGGUGGCGAAGGCGGCAUCCUGGACCGGCAUUGACGCUGAGGCGCGAAAGCCAGGGGAGCAAACGGG